rnacentral:rRNA from 1 species
CCUACGGGAGACAGCAGUGAGGAAUAUUGGUCAAUGGGCGGAAGCCUGAACCAGCCAAGUAGCGUGCAGGAUGACGGCCCUACGGGUUGUAAACUGCUUUUAUACGGGAAUAACGCGCCUUACGUGUAGGGUUUUGCAUGUACCGUAUGAAUAAGGCCCGGCUAAUUCCGUGCCAGCAGCCGCGGUAAUACGGAAGGUCCGGGCGUUAUCCGGAUUUCUUGGGUUUAAAGGGAGCGUAGGCCGCAUGUCAAGCGUGCUGUGAAAUGUCCGGGCUCAACCCGGGCCUUGCAGCGAGAACUGGCGUGCUUGAGUCCGCGGAAGGCAGGCGGAAUUCGUCGUGUAGCGGUGAAAUGCUUAGAUAUGACGAAGAACCCCGAGUGCGAAGGCAGCUUGCUGCAGCGGAACUGACGCUGAUGCUCGAAAGCGCGGGUAUCGAACAGGAUUAGAUACCCGUGUAGUC